CGUCCUCAGCAGCGGGAGGACCGGUGCCCAGGCGAGCAGGGCUUCCGCGGCGCUGAGGCUGGGCUCCAGGUCUCCGGGCUCACUGCGGGGCCAGGUUUCCUCUCCCCGAGCUCUGGGUCAGAAAAGGCGACCAGAACCACCGCUAAGCCCCGCGUCCUGCGCGGCCCCCACCCCUGGACACAGGUGACCGGCGGAACCCGAGCGUUUCUAAGGGAGACAAGCCCUCUCCUCCCGGGAACCUGGGAACACGCCAGAGCUGCCUUUGUAACCACACAGGCGUGGAGUCACCUGAGCAGGAACCGGGAAGAAACCUCACACCCGACGGCCUGGCCUGCCAGUGGAGCGAGCAGGGAGACCACAGAGGAGAGGACCGGGCACAGCUCCACGGGUCCUGAGGCCUUGGGGCUUCCAGAACAGGGUUUCUUUCAGGUGCUUGCUGACCUCAAGCAUAAACCCAGGAGCUCCGUGGCCAGUCUGUCAACGUCCUAGAAAACUAAAGAAAGUGGUGGGGCACAUUCAGCAUCAAGAACAAGGGGCACCAACUCAACUCUGACCCCUGUAUGUGUCUGCCUUCAACAGGAAGCCUGAGGCCCUGUUAUCCUGUGCUGAAUGAGGGGCACCACUCUGGAUAGGAUCUCCAAUUCAUACAGCAUAUGAACUGACCACGUGCCAGUCAAGGGCAUCUUGACUGGCUUAAAGCUGCAAAACCACACUACAGGUACAGUGCAUCUCAUGGUCUUUAUUAGAAGCUGCCCAACAUUGGCGUGAAAUCCCUACUGCUGCCUGGAUUCACCCAUUUCCCUACCGUGCCCCUGGAAAGUAACCGUAUCAUGGACCUGCACCAAUACCAGUGUGUCCAAGGAGGAAGAAUAAAAUGCAAAUCCAGAUUUACAGAGCAGACGACCAGUUCCCACUAUUUUUCAACACUGGUCAAAUAAAAAUGAACUGA